CCUACGGGGUGCUGCAGUGGGGAAUAUUGGGCAAUGGGCGCAAGCCUGACCCAGCAACGCCGCGUGAAGGAAGAAGGCUUUCGGGUUGUAAACUUCUUUUAAGGGGGAAGAACAAAUGACGGUACCCCUUGAAUAAGCCACGGCUAACUACGUGCCAGCAGCCGCGGUACUACGUAGGUGGCAAGCGUUAUCCGGAUUUACUGGGUGUAAAGGGCGUGUAGGCGGGAGCGCAAGUCCGAUGUGAACACCCAGGGCUCAACCCGGAGCCUGCAUUUGAAACUGUGUUUCUUGAGUGCUGGAGAGGCAAUCGGAAUUCCGUGUGUAGCGGUGAAAUGCGUAGAUAUACGGAGGAACACCAGUGGCGAAGGCGGAUUGCUGGACAGUAACUGACGCUGAGGCGCGAAAGCGUGGGGAGCAAACAGGAUUAGAUACCCUUGUAGUC
rnacentral:rRNA from 1 species